GGGGAAUAUUGCACAAUGGGCGAAAGCCUGAUGCAGCAACGCCGCGUGAGUGAUGAAGGUCUUCGGAUUGUAAAGCUCUGUCUUUUGGGACGAUAAUGACGGUACCAAAGGAGGAAGCCACGGCUAACUACGUGCCAGCAGCCGCGGUAAUACGUAGGUGGCGAGCGUUGUCCGGAUUUACUGGGCGUAAAGGGUGCGUAGGCGGAUGUUUAAGUGAGAUGUGAAAUACCCGGGCUUAACUUGGGUGCUGCAUUUCAAACUGGAUAUCUAGAGUGCAGGAGAGGAGAAUGGAAUUCCUAGUGUAGCGGUGAAAUGCGUAGAGAUUAGGAAGAACACCAGUGGCGAAGGCGAUUCUCUGGACUGUAACUGACGCUGAGGCACGAAAAGCGUGGGUAGCAAACAGGAUUAGAU
rnacentral:rRNA from 1 species